UACGUAUGGUGCAAGCGUUAUCCGGAUUUACUGGGUGUAAAGGGAGCGUAGGCGGCGCGUUAAGUCUGAUGUGAAAACCCGAGGCUCAACCACGGGAGUGCAUUGGAAACUGGCGGGCUGGAGUGCCGGAGAGGUAAGCGGAAUUCCUAGUGUAGCGGUGAAAUGCGUAGAUAUUAGGAGGAACACCAGUGGCGAAGGCGGCUUACUGGACGGCAACUGACGCUGAGGCUCGAGAGCGUGGGGAGCAAACAGG
rnacentral:rRNA from 1 species